CAAUAGCGUAUAUUAAAGUUGUUGCGGUUAAAAGCUCGUAGUUGGAUUUCUGCCGAGGACGACCGGUCCGCCCUCUGGGUGAGUAUCUGGCUUGGCCUGGGCAUCUUCUUGGAGAACGUAGCUGCACUUGACUGUGUGGUGCGGUAUCCAGGACUUUUACUUUGAGGAAAUUAGAGUGUUUCAAGCAGGCAUACGCCUUGAAUACAUUAGCAUGGAAUAAUAAGAUAGGACCUCGGUUCUAUUUUGUUGGUUUCUAGAGCUGAGGUAAUGAUUAAUAGGGAUAGUCGGGGGGCGUCAGUAUUCAGCUGUCAGAGGUGAAAUUCUUGGAUUGCUGAAGACUAACUACUGCGAAAGCAUUCGCCAAGGAUGUUUUCAUUGAUCAAGAACGAAGUUAGGGAUCGAAGACGAUCAGAUACC
rnacentral:rRNA from 1 species